UACCAAUCGUCUAAUAUGAAUUUACCAUUUUAACUCUACCGAUAAUAUGGGUAAAAUUUUUCAAAUACAGACCGAAAAAUCGGAAACGAUAACUGAAUACGCUCAACAAGCAACGUAAUUCAAUAACUAGACAUGUAUCGUUUUAUUGUUGUUGCCAAAGUCUGCUAAUAAGACGUUUUAAGGGGAAGUGUCACUUGCUCCGUACGACUUCGUCAAUAAUAUUCCCAACUUAAGUUAUCACCAAGAAAAAAAUACCAAAUAGCAAUUUUUAUGUUAUUAAAUUCUGUUAUUUUGUAAAUAUUGGACUCACCAAUUUAAUUACAAUAUUUUCAAAUUGUCUUUCGCAGAAUUUCAAUUUUUUAUAGAUGAUUGAAGGUCUAAAAGUCCCAUGCU